UGAUUUUGGAUGAAGCUAAUUUUGGGUGAAGAAUUUUUUUGGGUAAAACAUAUUUGUGUGAUUUUGGAUGAAGUAGGGUUUUGGGUGAAGUAGAUUUGGGUGAUUCUCGAUGAAAAAGAGUUUUGGCUGAUUUUGGUUGAAAAGAAAUGGGGGCAAAUGAAAUAAAAAGUGAGGGAAUGAAAUUAUACUACCCGCCUAAUUUGCCCACGUUAUUUUAUCGACGUUCUCUUAUUCGUAGGAAA
rnacentral:lncRNA from 1 species